GAUGAACGCUGGCGGCGUGCCUAAUACAUGCAAGUCGAGCGAACAGAUGAGGAGCUUGCUCCUCUGACGUUAGCGGCGGACGGGUGAGUAACACGUGGAUAACCUACCUAUAAGACUGGGAUAACUUCGGGAAACCGGAGCUAAUACCGGAUAAUAUAUUGAACCGCAUGGUUCAAUAGUGAAAGACGGUUUUGCUGUCACUUAUAGAUGGAUCCGCGCCGCAUUAGCUAGUUGGUAAGGUAACGGCUUACCAAGGCAACGAUGCGUAGCCGACCUGAGAGGGUGAUCGGCCACACUGGAACUGAGACACGGUCCAGACUCCUACGGGAGGCUGCAGUAGGGAAUCUUCCGCAAUGGGCGAAAGCUUGACGGAGCAACGCCGCGUGAGUGAUGAAGGUCUUCGGAUCGUAAAACUCUGUUAUUAGGGAAGAACAAAUGUGUAAGUAACUAUGCACGUCUUGACGGUACCUAAUCAGAAAGCCACGGCUAACUACGUG
rnacentral:rRNA from 1 species